CACGUAGGGUGCGAGCGUUGUCCGGAAUUAUUGGGCGUAAAGAGCUCGUAGGCGGUGUGUCGCGUCGGCCGUGAAAACCUGCAGCUUAACUGUGGGCUUGCGGUCGAUACGGGCAUGACUGGAGUUCGGCAGGGGAGACUGGAAUUCCUGGUGUAGCGGUGAAAUGCGCAGAUAUCAGGAGGAACACCGGUGGCGAAGGC
rnacentral:rRNA from 1 species